rnacentral:rRNA from 1 species
CCCUUAGAUGUUCUGGGCCGCACGCGCGCUACACUGACCAGUGCAACAAGCAUCCGUCCUUGGCCGACAGGCUCGGGCAAUCUUUGAACGCCGGUCGUGAUGGGGAUAGACUUUUGCAAUUUUUGGUCUUCAACGAGGAAUUCCUAGUAAACGCAAGUCAUCAACUUGCAUUGAUUACGUCCCUGCCCUUUGUACACACCGCCCGUCGCACCUACCGAUUGAAUGGUCCGGUGAAGCCUCCGGAUUGGCGCGCACCUCGGUGCCGCCGAGAAGUUGGCUAAACCUUACCAUUUAGAGGAAGGUGAAGUCGUAACA